AGAGUGAUUCACACUAUGUUUCCUACAGUGUUAGGCACAGAGAAGAAUAAAGAGCUUGGCCAAUGAUUCUGUAUUUGUUAUAAGAUCAGUGGAGGCUGACAUCAACUGUUAACCUCUUGUUAUUCUCUCAGGAAGUGAAAUCUCUGGUGCUAGAUAGAACAGUAGGAACUCGGCUAAAUGCUUACAGUUACUGUCUUCAUGAUUCUCACAACAACCUUGGAAAGAAGGAGCUAUUUUUAUAACCACUUUAUGUAUAAGGAAACUGAAGCAGACAGAGGUUGAGUGACUCAUCCCUGGAAAUAGUUAGUAUGUAUCUGAAUCAGGAUUUGAAUUCAUGUCUUCCUGACUCCAGACACAACGAUUUAUCCUCUGUGCCAAUUACAAGCUUGUGAUUUCACCAAUCCAGGAAAUUCUUGAAGUGGAAACUGUCUCUAAUGAAGAAGAUCAACAACUCAAUGGGAAUUAGAGAAUUGUGUGGGAAACUAAGAGGUCAAGAAAUUAACUCUCAGCAUCACAGACAGUUUUCGUUACAAGCAGAACUUGAAUGCAGGACUUCCUGAUUCCAAGAGUAAUCCAUUGUACACUCUGUCAGUAAUAUCAAUAAUAAAUAUUAUAAU